CAAGUCGCACGGGAUAAGACAUGUAGCAAUACCUGUUUUAUUUAGUGGCGCACGGGUGAGUAACACGUGAAUUACAUGCCCUAUAGUGGGGAAUAGCCCAGGGAAACUUGGAUUAAUACCCCAUAGUCUCGCAAGAGUAAAGGUGGCCAGCAAUGGCUGUCGCUAUAGGAUUGGUUCGCGCCCUAUCAGCUUGUUGGUGAGGUAACGGCUCACCAAGGCAAUGACGGGUACCUGGUCUGAGAGGACGAUCAGGCACACUGGAACUGAGACACGGUCCAGACACCUACGGGUGGCAGCAGUCGAGAAUAAUUCACAAUGGGGGCAACCCUGAUGGUGCAACGCCGCGUGGAGGAUGACGGUCUUCGGAUUGUAAACUCCUGUCAUCCGGGAGAAAGACCUGGGAGUGAAUAGCUCACAGGGUUGAUAGUACCGGAAGAGGAAGGGACGGCUAACUUCGUGCCAGCAGCCGCGGUAAUACGAAGGUCCCGAGCGUUGUUCGGAAUCACUGGGCGUAAAGGGAGCGUAGGCGGUUUGGUAAGUCAGAUGCGAAAUCCCGGGGCUCAACCCCGGAACUGCAUCCGAUACUGCCAGACUUGAGUAAUGGAGAGGUAGCUGGAAUUAUCGGUGUAGCAGUGAAAUGCGUAGAUAUCGAUAGGAACACUCGUGGCGAAAGCGAGCUACUGGACAUUUACUGACGCUGAGGCUCGAAGGCUAGGGGAGCGAAAGGGAUUAGAUACCCCUGUAGUCCUAGCAGUAAACGGUGCACGCUUGGUGUGAGGGGAUUCGACCCCCCUUGUGCCGGAGCUAACGCGUUAAGCGUGCCGCCUGGGAAGUACGGUCGCAAGACUAAAACUCAAAGAAAUUGACGG
rnacentral:rRNA from 1 species